rnacentral:rRNA from 1 species
GGUCCCUACGGGAUGCAGCAGUAUGUAAUCUUCCACCAUUUUCUAAAGCCUGAUGGAGCAACGCCGCGUGGGUGAAGAAGGUCUUCGGAUCGUAAAACCCUGUUGUUAGAGAAGAAAGUGCGUGAGAGUAACUGUUCACGUUUCGACGGUAUCUAACCAGAAAGCCACGGCUAACUACGUGCCAGCAGCCGCGGUAAUACGUAGGUGGCAAGCGUUAUCCGGAUUUAUUGGGCGUAAAGGGAACGCAGGCGGUCUUUUAAGUCUGAUGUGAAAGCCUUCGGCUUAACCGGAGUAGUGCAUUGGAA